rnacentral:rRNA from 1 species
AACAUGUCAUGGUCUUACGGUCAUUGCAUUGGAAUGAGUACAAUUUAAACCACUUAACGAGUAUCCAUUGGAGGGCAAGUCUGGUGCCAGCAGCCGCGGUAAUUCCAGCUCCAAUAGCGUAUAUUAAAGUUGUUGCAGUUAAAAAGCUCGUAGUUGAAUUUCGGAGGAGAGUUCCUGGUCUAGGUUCUCCUUGUACUGGGAGGCUCCAAUCUUUUUUCUGGGGAAACGGGGUGUCCUUUACUGGGCGCCUCGGGGAACCAGGACGAUUACCUUGAGAAAAAUAGAGUGUUCAAAGCAGGCUUUUGCUUGGAUACCUUAACAUGGAAUAAUAAAAUAAGACUUUGGUUCUAUUUUGUUGGUUUUAAGGACCAAUGGCAUGAUGAAUAAGGACAGUUGGGGGCAUUCCUAUUCCCAAACUAAAGGGGG